rnacentral:lncRNA from 1 species
GGAACAAUCAGUGCUGAAGGAGUUGAAGAGGAUGGGCAAGCCACGGCUUCUCCUUCUGGAAACGGAGAUCAUCUCCAAAGAAGACCAUCAUUUUCUACUAUGGACAAUGUGGAUGCUAGUUCUCUCCCAUUCACAGGUGUGGAAAUGGCCUGUAGCCUGCAGGAGCCUGAGGAGAAGAGAGGAGCUAGCAGCCCCAGUCAAGUCUAGCGAAGUGCAUCUUGGCCUGCAGUGAUGGCUGUUUCCCCCAGAAAGUUCUUCCACUUCUGGAUCCCACCUCGACUGAACCUUACACAAUCUACUGCUGGACUUUCCAAUGGCAUGAGUUGGUAAAUCAUCUCAUUUUUGCAAAAGCAAGUGUAACUUGAGUUUCCAUCACUUGCAGCUGAGAGAACACUUGUUCUUGAAUUUUAUCCACAAUGAGGUGCUGGAUGUUUUCUGUUUGCCCCAUGAACUCACUCUCUGCCUUCCCUGUCUUGCUGUCUACCCUUAUUGGUUCUUUUUUCCUUUCUGCUUUGGUUUCCAGUUGGCUCUGGCCAAUGAUAGAAGACGAUAAAAGAGCGAGGGAGAAUAAAGUCAUGUGUUUAUUUCUUCAGCGUUCUCCAA